rnacentral:rRNA from 1 species
UGGGGAGCAAACAGGAUUAGAUACCCUGGUAGUCCACGCCGUAAACGAUGUCUACUUGGAGGUUGUGCCCUUGAGGCGUGGCUUCCGGAGCUAACGCGUUAAGUAGACCGCCUGGGGAGUACGGCCGCAAGGUUAAAACUCAAAUGAAUUGACGGGGGCCCGCACAAGCGGUGGAGCAUGUGGUUUAAUUCGAUGCAACGCGAAGAACCUUACCUGGUCUUGACAUCCACAGAAUUCUGCAGAGAUGCGGAAGUGCCUUCGGGAACUGUGAGACAGGUGCUGCAUGGCUGUCGUCAGCUCGUGUUGUGAAAUGUUGGGUUAAGUCCCGCAACGAGCGCAACCCUUAUCCUUUGUUGCCAGCGGUUAGGCCGGGAACUCAAAGGAGACUGCCAGUGAUAAACUGGAGGAAGGUGGGGAUGACGUCAAGUCAUCAUGGCCCUUACGACCAGGGCUACACACGUGCUACAAUGGCGCAUACAAAGAGAAGCGACCUCGCGAGAGCAAGCGGACCUCAUAAAGUGCGUCGUAGUCCGGAUUGGAGUCUGCAACUCGACUCCAUGAAGUCGGAAUCGCUAGUAAUCGU